UCCUGAGUUCAAGCGAUCCUCCUGCCUUGGCCUCUUGAAGCUUUGGGAUUAUAGGCAUGAACCACUGCAGCUGGCACUGGAGCUUCAGUUUUAAGAGGUGUUCUCAGAAAUCAAUACCAAAUUUACUGUUCAUUGAUCACUUCAUAUGUGGUGUCAGCUUAGGUUUGCGGUAGGCUGGGGAGCUAGGAAGAGACAAAGUGAUGAGUGCUCCUGUGUGUCUAGGUAGCAGGACAUGAGAAGCAACUCUGAAGACCUCACUAAUUGGCUGUUCCUUUUCUCUGUGGCCAGUGUUUGUCCCAGCACGAUGCUGCCCAACUCUACCUCAAACUCUGGAACCUGAUUAAGGACCAGAUCACUGAUGUACACUUGGUGGAGAGGCUGCAGGCCCUGUAUAUGAUACAGGUGAAGGACUCCUUGAUUUGCCUUGACUGUGCCAUGGAGAGUAGCAUAAAGAGCAUCAUACUCACCCUCCCACUUUCUCUUUUCAAAGCUCCUGAAGACACUGGAGGACGCCCUGCACUGCUUCUUCCAGCCCAGGGAGUUAUCAAGCAAGUGCUUCUGUGAGAACUGUGGGAAGAAGACCCAUGGGAAACAGGAAUUCACAGACAAGAAAGGUCUGCCACGCCCUGGACUUCCCCCAGAGCCUGGAUUUCAGUCAGGUCCUUCCGAUGGCGUGAGAGCCCUGUGAUACUGAGGAGCAGCCUGGAGGGCAGUAUGAGCUUUUCGCUGUGAUCGCGCACGUGGGAGUGGCAGCCUCUGGUCAUUACUGUGUCUAUAUCCGGAAUGCUGUGGAUGGAAAAUGGUUCUGCUUCAGUGACUCCAAUAUUUGCUUGGUGUCCUGGGAAGACAUCCAGUGUACCUACGGAAAUCCCGGCUACCACUGGAACAUUACAGUGGGGGUGUUCCUGGAGAUUAAACGUAUGAAAAUGUGAGGAUCCCCAUAACACAGCCCCUCCCUCCAGAGUGUUCACCUCUCAAGCUGGUCCUCAUGGAGCCCUCCGCAAUCCACCAAUUACCGUCUGAAAUUUGCCUGCCCAGCUUUGAAAUCAAGUCCUUCAGUGAGACCUGGCUCUUUUGAUUAGAGGACAGCUCUUACUGUACAGAAAACAUUCACGGAAGUCAUUUGCUGAAGGACGGAGCAACCCAAACCCACACAGCUCCCAGGCCAUAGCACAGAGUUUCUGCCCCAGGAAGGGGUGUGACAGUCCGAAAAGACUGAUGUAAAGCCCUGCCUGAGGGGAGUGACUUUACUUAAAUCAGAGCAGGAAGAAAGUUCUGCACCAGAGCGUAAUUGGAGCCAAAGGGCAUCACAGUAGCUAGCAGUCCUCCAUGGGAGCUUGUGCCCCCUGAAGCACAAAGGUCUGUACCUGUUUGUCCCCUUGCGCCUGAGCCUGAGUGCAACUCCUGGGCAUGGGGGGAAGGAAUGAAGUUUGAUUGAUCUCUGAGGCCCUGGCUCUCAGCACAACCUCCAUCCAUGAGGCCUCUGAGGACUGUUGUGGAAGGAGUCACCAAAGGAAUGAAUCCAGCAAGCCAGGCCUGACUCCAGGAAAUAACUGAAGGAGAACUCGCACAGGGACUAAAGCGUAUUUUGCGUAAUAUGGACUUGGACAUCUGGUGUGUAAAGGCUAGGUGUUAAACAUCCUACUACGCACAACUCUCCUCCCCUAAAGAAUUAGCCAUCCCCAAAUCUCAGUAGUGCUGAGGUUGACAGCGCUUGGCUUACAUCCUGCCUAUUAGAUCUGGAGAUCUGGGAGAAUUGGGUAUAACACCUUCAGUGAUCCACGGGGGGGAUCUGCAGCCAUUGUGGGCGCCUGUUUUUCCCGUGACCUUUGUGUGCUUGUCUCUCCUUCCAGUAUCUAUUGUGCUGCCCCCUACUCCCCAGCACCCUACACACACACACACAACCAUCCAGCCUCCUGCCAUUGCCAGCAGGUGCCUUGCACAAGUACCUUGCCGCGCUAAUCCAUUCAGGUCGCUCUGUCACUCGCACUUAUUCUUUACACAUGCACGCACUCCCUCAGGUUGAAAAGGUGCAUUGCCCAGCAACAGAAGAAACUGCUUGCUUAGGCUUUAGCCGAGUUGGCAGCUUGAUGAGGACGCUCAGAGCUCAGCUCUGGAGAAUUCGAGCAUCCAACCAUACCCGCUGCUCCCAAGAGCGGUUACCUGGGCACUCUGUGCCCCUUAUUCCUGUCCCGGCCUGCGGCUGAGGACCUGCCAGUAGGGCUCAGUUGCCUGGAGCCCGUUCAACCCAUCCCCCAGUUCACUUUGCUUGUGGGAUCUCCCCGUUGCUCCUGUCCCUGGACGGAGUGGCAGGCCAUCCUACAAGUAUCCAGACACUUGGCAUCAGUGGUGUCAAGACAACUCCAAGAAGGUUUUCCGUGAUCCUUCAAGCCCUGUGUUCCUUCCUGGUGAUCCUGCCUUCAAUUUGAUUGUACAGGUACCACAGCAAGCCAGUGCUGUGUGCUCCAAAUUCCAGGGCGUCCUGCAGCUCAGCCCCUGCACUGAGCACAAGGAAUCUCUGUGGGGCCCAGGGGCAGGGAGUCACCCCUUUGGGGCCCACAACACCCGGCUGUCCCCAGACUCGUGUCCAGGGAAGAUCGUGUUGAAGGCCCUUAAGGAGAGCGGGGCAGGGAUGCCUGAGCAGGACAAGGACCCCAGAGUCCAAGAGAAUCCUGAUGAUCAGAGAAGGGUCCCCAUGGUCACCGGGGAUGCAUGGUCUGCAUUUCGGCCCCUGUGGGACAAUGGAGGCCUCUCUCCCUUUGUGCCCAGGCCUGGGCCACUGCAGAGAGACCUCCAUGCCCAGAGGUCAGAAGUCAGAUAUAAGCAGACAUCCCAGACCUCCUGGACGAGCUCGUGCACCAAACGCAAUGCCAUCUCGAGCUCCUACAGCUCCACGGGAGGCUUCCCGUGGCUAAAGCGGAGGAGGGGGCCAGCCUCAUCCCACUGUCAGCUGACCCUCAGUUCCUGAAAGACAGGCCAGGCCUCAGGCUGUCCCUUUUCACACCCAGUGUGAAAAGGUGGGAGAUACAGCACCAGGGCAGACACUCGCCCCCAGGAAUGGCUCCCCCAGAUCCCAGGCCUCCAGGCCCCAUAGACGCAAGUUUCCCCUGCUGCCACGCAGGCGAGGGGAGCCUCUGAUGCUGCCACCUCCAUUAGAACUGGGGUUCUCGGUCACUG